rnacentral:rRNA from 1 species
UGGGGAAUAUUGGACAAUGGGGGCAACCCUGAUCCAGCAAUGCCGCGUGUGUGAAGAAGGUUUUCGGAUUGUAAAGCACUUUCGGCGGGGACGAUGAUGACGGUACCCGCAGAAGAAGCCCCGGCUAACUUCGUGCCAGCAGCCGCGGUAAUACGAAGGGGGCUAGCGUUGCUCGGAAUGACUGGGCGUAAAGGGCGUGUAGGCGGUUUGUACAGUCAGAUGUGAAAUCCCCGGGCUUAACCUGGGAGCUGCAUUUGAUACGUGUAGACUAGAGUGUGAGAGAGGGUUGUGGAAUUCCCAGUGUAGAGGUGAAAUUCGUAGAUAUUGGGAAGAACACCGGUGGCGAAGGCGGCAACCUGGCUCAUAACUGACGCUGAGGCGCG